rnacentral:rRNA from 2 species
AGCUGUGACGCUGGCGGCGUGCCUAUACAUGCAAGUUGAGCGAACUGAUUAGAAGCUUGCUUCUAUGACGUUAGCGGCGGACGGGUGAGUAACACGUGGGCAACCUGCCUGUAAGACUGGGAUAACUCCGGGAAACCGGAGCUAAUACCGGAUAACAUUUUCUCUUGCAUAAGAGAAAAUUGAAAGAUGGUUUCGGCUAUCACUUACAGAUGGGCCCGCGGUGCAUUAGCUAGUUGGUGAGGUAACGGCUCACCAAGGCAACGAUGCAUAGCCGACCUGAGAGGGUGAUCGGCCACACUGGGACUGAGACACGGCCCAGAUGGACGAAAGUCUGACGGAGCAACGCCGCGUGAGUGAUGAAGGCUUUCGGGUCGUAAAACUCUGUUGUUAGGGAAGAACAAGUACAAGAGUAACUGCUUGUACCUUGACGGUACCUAACCAGAAAGCCACGGCUAACUACGUGCCAGCAGCCGCGGUAAUACGUAGGUGGCAAGCGUUAUCCGGAAUUAUUGGGCGUAAAGCGCGCGCAGGCGGUUUCUUAAGUCUGAUGUGAAAGCCCACGGCUCAACCGUGGAGGGUCAUUGAAAACUGGGGAACUUGAGUGCAGAAAAGAAAAGCAGAAUUCCACGUGUAGCAGUGAAUUGCGUAAAAAUGUGGGAGAACCACCAGGUGGCGAAGGCCGUCUUUUGUGGUCCUGUAACUGAACGC